rnacentral:rRNA from 1 species
AUGCUUAACACAUGCAAGUCGAACGGUAACAGGCCAUCGUGAUCUCUUCGGAGUGAACUAGGCGCUGACGAGUGGCGGACGGGUGAGUAAUGCUUGGGAACUUGCCUUUGCGAGGGGGAUAACAGUUGGAAACGACUGCUAAUACCGCAUAAUGUCUUCGGACCAAACGGGGCUUCGGCUCCGGCGCAAAGAGAGGCCCAAGUGAGAUUAGCUAGUUGGUAAGGUAACGGCUUACCAAGGCGACGAUCUCUAGCUGUUCUGAGAGGAAGAUCAGCCACACUGGGACUGAGACACGGCCCAGACUCCUACGGGAGGCAGCAGUGGGGAAUAUUGCACAAUGGGGGAAACCCUGAUGCAGCCAUGCCGCGUGUGUGAAGAAGGCCUUCGGGUUGUAAAGCACUUUCAGUUGUGAGGAAAAGUUAGUAGUUAAUACCUGCUAGCCGUGACGUUAACAACAGAAGAAGCACCGGCUAACUCCGUGCCAGCAGCCGCGGUAAUACGGAGGGUGCGAGCGUUAAUCGGAAUUACUGGGCGUAAAGCGCACGCAGGCGGUUUGUUAAGCUAGAUGUGAAAGCCCCGGGCUCAACCUGGGAUGGUCAUUUAGAACUGGCAGACUAGAGUCUUGGAGAGGGGAGUGGAAUUCCAGGUGUAGCGGUGAAAUGCGUAGAUAUCUGAAGGAACACCAGUGG